AGAGUUUGAUCCUGGCUCAGGAUGAACCUUUGCGGUGUGCCUAAUACAUGCAAGUCGAACGGUGACUAUUUUGUAGCAAUACGAAUGAAAUCAUAGUGGCGAACGGGUGAGUAACGCGUUGGUGAUCUGCCUCGAAGUGUGGAAUAACUUCCCGAAAGGGUAGCUAAUACCGCAUACUCUCUCAAGGUUUAAAAAAUUGAGAGUAAAGGAUUUAUUCGCUUCGAGAGGAGCCUGCGUCCCAUCAGCUAGUUGGUAGGGUAAUAGCCUACCAAGGCAAUGACGGGUAGGGGACCUGAGAGGGUGGCCCCCCACAAUGGAACUGAAACACGGUCCAUACACCUACGGGUGGCAGCAGUAGGGAAUAUUAGAAAUGGGCGAAAGCCUGAUCUAGCAACACCGCGUGUGCGAUGAAGGCCUUCGGGUUGUAAAGCACUUUUUGGAGGGAAUAGGAAGGAAGGUACCUCCAGAAUAAGUCUCGGCUAACUACGUGCCAGCAGCCGCGGUAACACGUAGGAGGCAAACGUUAUCCGGAUUCACUGGGCGUAAAGCGCGUGUAGGUGGUUCUGUAAGUAGGGCGUGAAAGCUCCCGGCUCAACUGGGAGAGGCCGUACUAAACUGCAGAGCUAGAGGAUGGUAGAGGGAGGUGGAAUUCCAGGUGUAGUGGUGAAAUGCGCAGAUAUCUGGAGGAACACCAGUGGCGAAGGCGGCCUCCUGGACCAUUCCUGACACUCAGACGCGAAAGCUAGGGUAGCAAACGGAAGUAGAGACUCCGGUAGUCCUAGCCCUAAACGAUGCAGACUAGGCUUGGGCGGUUAAUUCACCGUCGGUGUCCAAGCUAACGCGAUAAGUCUGCCGCCUGAGGACUACGGCCGCAAGGCUAAAACUCAAAGGAAUUGACGGGUCCCCGCACAAGCAGCGGAGCGUGUGGUUUAAUUCGAUGCUCCGCGAAGAACCUUACCUGGGUUUGACGUAACAGUGGUAGAGAAGUGAAAACGGAUCGACCCUUCGGGGAGCUGUUACAGGUGUUGCAUGCCUGUCGUCAGCUCGUGUCGUGAGAUGUUCGGUUAAGUCCGCUAACGAGCGCAACCCGCGCUGUGUGUUACAAGUGUCACACAGUACCGCCGGUAUUAAGUCGGAGGAAGGUGCGGAUGACGUCAAGUCAGCAUGACCUUUAUAUCCAGGGCUACACACGCUACAAUGGUCAGAACAAUAGGUUGCCAAGCCGCAAGGCGGAGCCAAUCCUCCAAAUCUGGCCUCAGUUCAGAUUGCAGGCUGCAACUCGCCUGCAUGAAGUCGGAGUUGCUAGUAACCGCAGGUCAGCAUACUGCGGUGAAUACGUUCCCGGGGAUUGUACACACCGCCCGUCA
rnacentral:rRNA from 1 species